GCCUGUGGUGUAGUGGUAUGAGUGCUGGAUUAUGACUCUGGAGACCAGAGUUCGAUUCCCAGAUCAGCCA